GACAGAGGUCCCGAGCGUUAGGCGGAAUCACUGGGCUUAAAGCGUGUGUAGGCGGAUCUGUAAGUACCUUGUGAAAUCCCACGGCUUAACCGUGGAACUGCUUGGUAUACUGCGGAUCUUGAGCCACCUAGGGGCGAGCGGAACAAGUGGUGGAGCGGUGAAAUGCGUAGAUAUCACUUGGAACGCCAAUGGUGAAAACAGCUCGCUGGGGGUGUGCUGACGCUGAGACACGAAAGCCAGGGGAGCAAACGGG
rnacentral:rRNA from 1 species